rnacentral:rRNA from 1 species
AGAAUCAACGCUGGCGGCGUGCCUAACACAUGCAAGUCGAACGAGAAAGUGGAGCAAUCCAUUAGUAAAGUGGCGCACGGGUGAGUAACACGUGACUAACCUACCCUUGAGUGGGGGAUAACCUAGAGAAAUCUGGGCUACUACCGCAUAAUACCUUCGGGUCAAAGGAGCAAUUCGCUUAAGGAGGGGGUCGCGGCCGAUUAGUUAGUUGGCGGGGUAAUGGCCCACCAAGACUAUGAUCGGUA